rnacentral:rRNA from 1 species
AUUGAACGCUGGCGGCAUGCCUAACACAUGCAAGUCGAACGGCAGCACGGCAGUAGCAAUACUGUGGGUGGCGAGUGGCGGACGGGUGAGGAAUACGUCGGAAUCUGCCCAGUCGUGGGGGAUAACUAGCCGAAAGGUUAGCUAAUACCGCAUACGACCGAGAGGUGAAAGCGGGGGACCGCAAGGCCUCGCGCGAUUGGAUGAGCCGACGUCGGAUUAGCUAGUUGGAGGGGUAAAGGCCCACCAAGGCGACGAUCCGUAGCUGGUCUGAGAGGAUGAUCAGCCACACUGGAACUGAGACACGGUCCAGACUCCUACGGGAGGCAGCAGUGGGGAAUAUUGGACAAUGGGCGCAAGCCUGAUCCAGCAAUGCCGCGUGUGUGAAGAAGGCCUCGGUUGUAAG